GAAGGGGGAGAGGAGCUCCUGAUUCCCGUCACCUAGGAUGCUCUAUAGGCUCCGUGUCCUAUAGACACGGCUCGCCUGCCCAGCGCAUCCCUCCGCCAGGCUGGAAAAAAGAAUCGGGGGCUGCCCCACCAGCCCGGCAAGGGGAAGAGGAGCUGCCCCCGGCUGCGCUGCCUGGCUCAGCCUCCCGGGGGAGGGCUCUGCCCGGGGGGCCGGAGCAUCCCACCGCGCCAGCCAGGGCUCCGGGGGUGGGCGAGUCCCGGCGGCGGCAGCGAGCCCCCGCCCCGCCAACCCUGCCCGCACUCGGGACGGCAGCCGCCGGCGGGGCAUUGCCCUUUUAAGCUGUGGCCCCACUGCCUCCUCCCCGGCUCCCGGAGGGGCUCCGGCAGCCGCCGCGACCUCCCUCCUUUCCCUCCCUUCCAUCCCUCCCCGCUCCCGGCGGCGGCGAGCGGCGGCUGCGGGCCGGGGCGCGGAGGAGCCCCGGGGCGGCGGCGGGAGCCGGGCUGCCCCUGCCCGCGCUGCUCGGGGACCAUGGGAUGCUGCACCGGGCGCUGCACCCUCAUCUUCCUCUGCACUUUGCAGCUGCUUGCUGCAUUAGAGAGGCAAGUGUUUGAUUUCCUGGGAUACCAGUGGGCCCCUAUCCUCGCCAACUUCCUCCACAUCAUCAUCGUUAUCCUCGGCCUGUUUGGCACGAUUCAAUAUAGACCUCGCUACAUAGUGGUGUAUGCCAUCUGGACUGCAAUUUGGGUCACCUGGAACAUCUUCAUCAUCUGCUUUUACUUAGAAGUGGGAGGGCUCUCAAAGGACAGUGAACUCUUGACGUUCAACAUCUCCCGGCACCAGUCAUGGUGGAGUGAAAAUGGUCCUGGCUGUGUAAGGAAGGAGGCUUCAAUGUCUGGCAUCAAAGGGCUGGACAGCCAUUCCUACAUCUCUGUGAUAGGCUGUGCCCUGGAGUAUCGGUACAUCGAGGUCAUGCACAGCUCCUUCCAGAUCCUGAUCGCGCUAGUGGGCUUUGUCUACGCCUGUUACGUUGUUAGUGUUUUUACAGAAGAAGAAGACAGCUUUGAUUUCAUUGGUGGAUUUGAUCCAUUUCCUCUCUACCAUGUCAAUGAAAAACCCACCAACCUUUUGUUCAAGCAGACAUACCUGUAGACUUUUUCCCAAACAAACAAUUUGCUGAAUAUCAACAUGAAUUUGCAAACUGUUUUGAUCAACCUGAAGCUGCAUGUUUAAGAGGCCUGCGUAAGUAAAGAGGAGCCAGAGGAUGGAUAAACCUUGCACUCCACCAUCAAAGGUGCUGCAGGAAACAAUCCCCUGCAGCCUGGAUCUUUGGCAAAGGAAAUGCAGGAUGGUGAACUCCAUUCCAUUUUUUGUUCCUUGUCUUCUUUUCAAAUGCAAUGAAUGUACAUUGAAGAAUGGCCACGCAGUUGGUUUUUAAUUCUGCAAGUGCCCUGACAAACCAUUCCUACCAUAGCCUGCUGGUACUAGCCACUACAUGACACAGGCCUGAAGACCUCAGGCAGAGCAAGUUCACUGAGAGCCUCUCUCAAGAGAUACAGCUGAAGUCAGAGCUGCUUCCUUGUGCCAUGGAUCCAUAAAGAAGGAAGCACUGCAUAACACCCUGGGACAUUUCAUAUGUUCUGUAGUUAGUUUCUACCCCUUCUCCUUUUCCUUGUUCUGAGAAGAGCCUAAAUCCCCUAACACAACUUCAUCUCCUCCCUGCCUGUAUAGAACUAGGUGGGGGCUAUUUGCAUUUGAGUUAUUUAGGCUUUUUUUUUGUUUCCUUUUUUUUUUUUUUAAAGUUAUAGAUGAGACCUCUUCCCUUUUUCCCCCCUGGCCCCUCCAGGACUCCCUUCCUCAUUCUCUAGACAUGGUCAGCACCCUAGAAGUAGGCAUUUGUCCUGGAUUUCAGCGUUCUGUGACCUAACUCCUAUAAUGCUGAACAGCUAAAAACUAGUACAAGCACCAAAUCUUUACUCAGCAUGGAGCUUAGCCCCAUUUCAAUAUGCCAAGCCGUUCUCAGAGCAGCUGUAGCUUACUCUGGGUUUGCCCAUCUACAUUGAAUUAACACUGGUGUAGCCAUAUACACAGCUGAAGCCUGCAGCAGGACACAGGAAAGUGCCUAGUUCUUCAUAGAUCACAGAUGGUUUUGUACCUGCCUUCUUCACCAAGCAGCUGUGCUUAUUCCAGGCACAAGCCUGGGAACAUCCCGAUGGAAGGGGGUUUUCAUGACAGGAUAAUUUUGAGGGGAGGGAGUGGGCUGAAGGAAAGGAGAAAUAUAAGUGUAAUUAAGUUGCAUUAAUGAGCUGCAGCAAUUAAUUAAAAAACAAACAAAAAAACCAGUGUCAGUUUUGUUAGCUAUAUCUCCCAGCAUGUUAUGUGUCAAGCAGAGAAUGUGCCCUUGUUACCCAUCCGUGGCAUUCUUUGGCUGGUACGUUCCAAGUGCUGUUGUAAUUCUUUAUUGUCUUGCCUAAUCUGUUUGAGAUUACUUGGCAUUUUGGAGUACUGCUUUUCAGAAGAGUCAAGACAGAAGCCGCGCUCAGGAGAGGAAGUGUGAGGGGAGAAUUAAA